AUGUGUAUUCCUAAUUCUGUAGUGCAAUUCUAACUGAUUUACUUACUUACUUUAUUCAUCGCACUGCCAGUCUUUGUACCGCUGUCCAGCCUCCAAGGCACCAAGAUCACAUUGAUAACCUCAGCCAAUCAAAUGCUUUAACUUAGCAAAACACAGUUCUGCACCAAUCAGAUGGUCUUUAAGAGAGAUUGAAAUAGCCAGGUUUUGCCCCUGAGCUAAAGUGACAG